rnacentral:lncRNA from 1 species
UGAUUUGAAAACAGUAAAAUUGGGGAAAGUAGGCACCAAAAACCCGGUCUUCCUGCUGCGGAAUGAAAUCAGAAAAAAGUCAGGGGAGUGGAAGGCGCCAAAACCAUUUCUCUCAUCUUCCCCUCCCACGAAUCUGACCUUGAGCUAGACAUCGUUAAAAUCCCCACCUUCCUUUUGUAGAAGAAGGGCAGCGAGAAACCCAGAAAUAUUGCUAAUCUGUUGAGUUUCUUAAUCUUCCUUGUUGAUUUUGUAUUUGAUCUCAAUAGCUUCUUGGGGAUUUCUUAGUCGGUUCAUUGAAGGUUAAGAUUGGCUUUUUGUAAUUGGUUUAUUCUUCAAGCAUGAUUUUGGUUUAUGUUGAUAUUUAUAUUGGAGAUUUCUUAGUCCGAAAAGUGAAAAAUAUGCACAGCAAUAUAUUGAAAUGGCGUUUUCUUGAAUUUUAUGAAUUAUGGGUUUGAUUUUUCUUUUUCUCCCAGCAUCUUUAAUUUUUUUUUCGUUUUCAUUUUGCUGUUAUUAAUUUUUGUGUUUAGGAAAGCUAUUCUCAUUUGAUGAGAAAUUUAUACUUGGUGUUAUGAAUUUUUGUGUUUAGAAAUUUAUACUUGGUGUGAUUGACUAAAUCAUCUUUUGAUUCUUUUGGUUGAAGAUGUUAGUUUGAAUUUUUGUUUUGUUAAUUUCAAUUAAAACGGAUGGGUGUAUAUCUCAGUACUACAUGUACUAUAUAUCUCUGUUUGGUUUGCUAAAAAAUUAGUUUUAUUUUAUUGAAAAUUUUCAUUUGCACAUAGAUGCUGUUAAUAAGUCGAUUAUUCACUUGUGGGGUUACUUCCUUCAAGAUUUGUCAGAGAAAUGCUAAUAUUGGUGUAUGUUAAUGUGUUUGAUUCAGCAAUACAGUAUAUUGGGAAAGAAUGCAGGAGUUUGGCAUGAUUACAGAGGUGUUGGGCACUUCUUCAAUGUUUGCCUGAUGAAACAUCAUGUGAAUUUGGAUAAAACAGCAGCCCACGAAGAAGGUGGCAAUAUGUUGCGAAUGUUCCAAUCUCAAUUGCAGCUAAAUAAUGAGG